GACGAACGCUGGCGGCGUGCCUAAUACAUGCAAGUAGGACGCAGUUGCGAACGGGUGAGUAACGCGUCGGUAACUGCCUAUUAGAGGGGGAUAACUAUUGGAAACGAUAGCUAAUACCGCAUACUAGUAGAUGGACCUGCGUUGUAUUAGCUAGUAGGUAGGGUAAUGGCCUACCUAGGCAACGAUACAUAGCCGAGCUGGGGGGGAGGACGGGCAAAAUGGGACUGGGACACGGCCCAAGCUCCUAAGGGGAGCCACAGUAGGGGAUCAUCGGAAAUGGGGCGAAAGCUGGCCAAGCCACGGCGCGUGAGUGAAGAAGGGUUUCGGGUCGUAAAACUCUGUUGUGAAGGAAGCGGUACUUGACCAGAAAGGGACGGCUAACUACGUGCCAGCAGCCGCGGUAAUAC
rnacentral:rRNA from 1 species